rnacentral:rRNA from 1 species
ACUCGAGUGGCGAACGGGUGAGUAACACGUGGGUGAUCUGCCCUGCACUUCGGGAUAAGCUUGGGAAACUGGGUCUAAUACCGGAUAGGAGCCAUCUUUAGUGUGGUGGUUGGAAAGUUUUUUCGGUGUAGGAUGAGCUCGCGGCCUAUCAGCUUGUUGGUGGGGUAAUGGCCUACCAAGGCGGCGACGGGUAACCGGCCUGAGAGGGUGUACGGCCACAUUGGGACUGAGAUACGGCCCAG